AACUUUUGACAACGGAUCACUUGGCUCUCGCAUCGAUGAAGAACGCAGCGAAAUGCGAUAAGUAAUGUGAAUUGCAGAAUUCAGUGAAUCAUCGAAUCAUUGAACGCACCUUGCGCUCCUUGGUAUUCCGAGGAGCAUGCCUGUUUGAGUGUCAUUAAUAUAUAUCAAACUUCUCUUGUUGAGUUGUUUGGAUGUGGGGGUUUGCUGGCCUCUUAAAGGGGUUCAGCUCUCCUGAAAUGCAUUAGCAGAACAACCUGUUCAUUGGUGUGAUAACUAUCUACGCUAUUGAAUGUGAAGGGAAGUUCAGCUUUCUAACAGUCUUUGGACAAAUUCAUCAUUAAUGUGACCUCAAAUCAGGUAGGACUACCCGCUGAACUUAAGCAUAUCAAUAAGCGGAGGCU
rnacentral:misc_RNA from 1 species